rnacentral:rRNA from 1 species
UUGGGCUCGAAGCGCAGUGGACCGGGUGGAAACAUCCCUUUUCGCAAGAACUGCUGCGGAGGUGCUGCAUGGCUGUCGUCAGCUCGUGUCGUGAGAUGUUGGGUUAAGUCCCGNAACGAGCGCAACCCUUAUCGUUAGCUGCCAGCGGGUCAAGCCGGGCACUCUAGCGAAACCGCACAGGAUAACUGUGAGGAAGGUGGGGAUGACGUCAAGUCCUCAUGGCCUUUAUGUCCAGGGCUACACACGUGCUACAAUGGCCGGUACAAACCGUCGCAAACCCGCAAGGGGGAGCUAAUCGGAAAAAGCCGGCCUCAGUUCGGAUUGGAGUCUGCAACCCGACUCCAUGAAGCUGGAAUCGCUAGUAAUCGCGGAUCAGCACGCCGCGGUGAAUACGUUCCCGGGCCUUGUACACACCGCCCGUCACAUCACGAAAGUGGACUAUACUAGAAGCCGGUGAGCCAACCGCAAGGGGGCAGCCGUCCAAGGUAUGGUUCAUGAUUGGGGUGAAGUCGUAACAAGGUAAGCGUAGUGCU